ACCUGGGUGGCUCAGUCUGUUGAGCAUCUGACUUCGGCUCAGGUCAUGAUCUCACGGUUCGUGGGUUCGAGCCCCGCAUUGGGCU
rnacentral:tRNA from 1 species